GAACGCCCCGCAAGGGGAGUGGCGCACGGGUGAGUAACGCGUGGGAAUAUGCCCCUGACUGCGGAACAACGUCUGGAAACGGACGCUAAUACCGCAUAAUGUCUACGGACCAAAGAUUUAUCGGUCAGGGAUUAGCCCGCGUUGGAUUAGCUAGUUGGUGAGGUAAUGGCUCACCAAGGCUACGAUCCAUAGCUGGUCUGAGAGGAUGAUCAGCCACACUGGGACUGAGACACGGCCCAGACUCCUACGGGAGGCAGCAGUAAGGAAUAUUGGACAAUGGAGGCAACUCUGAUCCAGCCAUGCCGCGUGUGUGAUGAAGGCCUUCGGGUUGUAAAACACUUUCAGGUGUGACGAUGAUGACGGUAACACCAGAAGAAGCUCCGGCUAACUUCGUG
rnacentral:rRNA from 1 species